rnacentral:rRNA from 1 species
AUUGAACGCUGGCGGCAGGCUUAACACAUGCAAGUCGAGCGGGGGAAGGUAGCUUGCUACCGGACCUAGCGGCGGACGGGUGAGUAAUGCUUAGGAAUCUGCCUAUUAGUGGGGGACAACAUCUCAAAAGGGAUGCUAAUACCGCAUACGUCCUACGGGAGACAGCAGGGGAUCUUCGGACCUUGCGCUAAUAGAUGAGCCUAAGUCGGAUUAGCUAGUUGGUGGGGUAAAGGCCUACCAAGGCGACGAUCUGUAGCGGGUCUGAGAGGAUGAUCCGCCACACUGGGACUGAGACACGGCCCAGACUCCUACGGGAGGCAGCAGUGGGGAAUAUUGGACAAUGGGGGGAACCCUGAUCCAGCCAUGCCGCGUGUGUGAAGAGGGCCUUAUGGUUGUAAAGCACUUUAAGCGAGGAGGAGGCUACUCUAGUUAAUACCUAGGGAUAGUGGACGUUACUCGCAGAAUAAGCACCGGCUAACUCUGUGCCAGCAGCCGCCGUAA